rnacentral:rRNA from 1 species
UAUGAAAAGCAAUAGCUGAUUGCAUUUAAAUGUAGUUACUACUUGGUAGUUUAAAUUUCUAGGUAGAAUUAUGAUGAUGACAUUAUCUAUCUAUUAGUCUUGACCAAAUUACGUGCCAGCAGUCGCGGUAAUACGUAGAAGACAAGUGUUAUUCAUCUUUAUUAGGUUUAAAGGGUACCAAGACGGUUAAUAAAGCCCAAAAUAAAUGAAUACGGGGGACACAUUAACUAGAGUUAUAUGAAAGGAAGAAGAACUGUUGAGUGGAGAGAUGAAAUUUAAUUAUACCAUAUGCGUGGACAGAUUUAUGCGAAGGCAUCUUCUUAUGUAAUAACUGACGUUGUAGGACGAAGGCUUAGGGAGUGAACAGGAUUAGGUACCCCAGUAAUCUAUGCAGAAAAUGAUGAAUGUCAUAGGUUCAAUAUGUCUAUAAAUGAAAGUGUAAGCAUUCCACCUCAAGAGUAAUUUGGCAACAUUGGAACUGAAAUCAUUAGACCGUUUCUGAAACCAGUAGUGAAGUAUGUUGUUUAAUUAGAUGAUACACAAAAACCUUACCACAAUUUGAAUAUAUAUAAAAUAUAUUUACAUGCGCUGCACGGCUGUCUACAGUUAAUGUCGUGAGACUUUGGUUAGCUCCAGUAAAUUGACGAAAACCCUAAUUUUAUUUAUAAAUAUAAUUAACAUUGUUAUAUUUGAUGUUUAAGAGGGAACA